rnacentral:rRNA from 1 species
AAAAAAUAGGUCUCAGUUCGGACUGUAGGCUGCAACUCGCCUACACGAAGUUGGAAUUGCUAGUAAUCGUGGAUCAGCAUGCCACGGUGAAUACGUUCCCGGGUCUUGUACACACCGCCCGUCACACCAUGGGAGCUGGUAACACCCGAAGUCGGUAGCCUAACCGUAAGGAGGGCGCCGCCGAAGGUGGGAUUGAUGACUGGGGUGAAGUCGUAACAAGGUAGC